rnacentral:rRNA from 1 species
GAUGAACGCUGGCGGCGUGCCUAAUACAUGCAAGUCGAGCGAACAGAUAAGGAGCUUGCUCCUUUGACGUUAGCGGCGGACGGGUGAGUAACACGUGGAUAACCUACCUAUAAGACUGGGAUAACUUCGGGAAACCGGAGCUAAUACCGGAUAACAUAUUGAACCGCAUGGUUCAAUAGUGAAAGGCGGCUUUGCUGUCACUUAUAGAUGGAUCCGCGCCGUAUUAGCUAGUUGGUAAGGUAACGGCUUACCAAGGCAACGAUACGUAGCCGACCUGAGAGGGUGAUCGGCCACACUGGAACUGAGACACGGUCCAGACUCCUACGGGAGGCAGCAGUAGGGAAUCUUCCGCAAUGGGCGAAAGCCUGACGGGGCAACGCCGCGUGAGUGAUGAAGGUCUUCGGAUCGUAAAACUCUGUUAUCAGGGAAGAACAAAUGUGUAAGUAACUGUGCACAUCUUGACGGUACCUGAUCAGAAAGCCACGGCUAACUACGUG